rnacentral:rRNA from 1 species
CCUACGGGAGGCAGCAGUCGAGAAUCAUUCACAAUGGGGGAAACCCUGAUGCUGCGACGCCGCGUGGGGGAAUGAAGGUCUUCGGAUUGUAAACCCCUGUAAUGUGGGAGCAAAUUAAAAAGAUAGUACCACAAGAGGAAGAGACGGCUAACUCUGUGACAGCAGCCGCGGUCAUACGGAGGUCGCAAGCGUUGUUCGGAAUCGCUGGGCGUAAAGCGUGCGGAGGCGGUUUCGUAAGUCGUGGGUGAAAGGCCCGGGCUCAACCCGCGGACGGCCCAUGAUACUGCGAGACGAGAGUAGUGGAGGGGGAACCGGAAUUCGCGGUGUAGCGGUGAAAUGCGUAGAUAUCGAGAGGAACACGCGUGGCGAAGGCGGCUUCCUGGACAUUAACUGACGCUGAGGCACGAAGGCGUGGGGAGCGAAAGGGAUUAGAUACCCGAGUAGUC